AUUGAACGCUGGCGGCAUGCCUUACACAUGCAAGUCGAACGGCAGCACGGGGCAACCUGGUGGCGAGUGGCGAACGGGUGAGUAAUGCAUCGGAACGUGCCAUUGAGUGGGGGAUAACGUAGCGAAAGUUGCGCUAAUACCGCAUAUUCUGUGAGCAGGAAAGCAGGGGACCGCAAGGCCUUGCGCUCUUUGAGCGGCCGAUGUCAGAUUAGCUAGUUGGUGAGGUAACGGCUUACCAAGGCGACGAUCUGUAGCGGGUCUGAGAGGAUGAUCCGCCACACUGGAACUGAGACACGGUCCAGACUCCUACGGGAGGCAGCAGUGGGGAAUUUUGGACAAUGGGCGCAAGCCUGAUCCAGCCAUGCCGCGUGAGUGAAGAAGGCCUGGUUGU
rnacentral:rRNA from 1 species